AUUGAACGCUGGCGGCAGGCCUAACACAUGCAAGUCGAUCGGAGCGGCAGACGGGUGAGUAAUGCCUAGGAAUCUGCCUGGUAGUGGGGGCUAAGGUCCGGAAACGGGCGCUAAUACCGCAUACUAUCAGAUGAGCCUAGGUCGGAUUAGCUAGUUGGUGGGGUAAAGGCAUACCAAGGCGACGAUCCGUAACUGGUCUGAUAGGCUGAUCAGUCACACGGGAACUGAGACACGGGCCAGACUCCUACGGGAGGCAGCAGUGGGGAAUAUUGGACAAUGGGCGAGAGUCUGAGCCAGCCAUGCCGCGUGGUUGAAGAAGGUCUUCGGAUUGUAAAGCACUUUAAGUUGGGAGGCGUUACCAACAGAAUAAGCACCGGCUAACUUCGUGCCAGAAGCCGGGGUAAUAA
rnacentral:rRNA from 1 species